CAAUAAUAAUAAUAAAUAACUAACUUGUUUGCUAAAGUAGCCGGCUACCUACCAGCUGUUAUUUUUCUGCCGUCGUAACUACAACCUAGAGCUAAUUAGGAUUUAGGUCACAAUACGUUUAAAAACAGGAACUAUCAUGCAUGUAAUAUCAAACAUUAAGAAUACAAAUGUAUUAAGUUACUCGAUAUCAGAAAAAAGAAACUUAACUUUAACUUAACU